rnacentral:rRNA from 1 species
UACGUAGGGUGCAAGCGUUAAUCGGAAUUACUGGGCGUAAAGCGUGCGCAGGCGGUGAUGUAAGACCGAUGUGAAAUCCCCGGGCUUAACCUGGGAACUGCAUUGGUGACUGCAUUGCUAGAGUAUGGCAGAGGGGGGUGGAAUUCCACGUGUAGCAGUGAAAUGCGUAGAGAUGUGGAGGAACACCGAUGGCGAAGGCAGCCCCCUGGGCCAAUACUGACGCUCAUGCACGAAAGCGUGGGGAGCAAACAGG